GAAUAGCUCAUUCGGUAGAGCAUGAGACUCUUAAUCUCAGGGCCGUGGGUUCAAUCCCCACGUUAAGCA